rnacentral:rRNA from 1 species
UUAUGAGAGUUUGAUCCUGGCUCAGGACGAACGCUGGCGGCGUGCCUAAUACAUGCAAGUCGAACGCUUUUUCUUUCACCGGAGCUUGCUCCACCGAAAGAAAAAGAGUGGCGAACGGGUGAGUAACACGUGGGUAACCUGCCCAUCAGAAGGGGAUAACACUUGGAAACAGGUGCUAAUACCGUAUAACACUAUUUUCCGCAUGGAAGAAAGUUGAAAGGCGCUUUUGCGUCACUGAUGGAUGGACCCGCGGUGCAUUAGCUAGUUGGUGAGGUAACGGCUCACCAAGGCCACGAUGCAUAGCCGACCUGAGAGGGUGAUCGGCCACACUGGGACUGAGACACGGCCCAGACUCCUACGGGAGGCAGCAGUAGGGAAUCUUCGGCAAUGGACGAAAGUCUGACCGAGCAACGCCGCGUGAGUGAAGAAGGUUUUCGGAUCGUAAAACUCUGUUGUUAGAGAAGAACAAGGAUGAGAGUA